rnacentral:rRNA from 1 species
AUUGAACGCUGGCGGCAGGCCUAACACAUGCAAGUCGAGCGGAUGAGAGGAGCUUGCUCCUCGAUUCAGCGGCGGACGGGUGAGUAAUGCCUAGGAAUCUGCCUAGUAGUGGGGGACAACGUUUCGAAAGGAACGCUAAUACCGCAUACGUCCUACGGGAGAAAGUGGGGGAUCUUAGGACCUCACGCUAUUAGAUGAGCAUAGGUGGGAUUAGCUAGUUGGUAGGGUAAAGGCCUACCAGGGCGACGAUCCGUAACUGGUCUGAGAGGAUGAUCAGUAACACUGGAACUGAGACACGGUCCAGACUCCUACGGGAGGCAGCAGUGGGGAAUAUUGGACAAUGGGCGAAAGCCUGAUCCAGCCAUGCCGCGUGUGUGAAGAAGGCCUUCGGGUCGUAAAGCACUUUAAGUUGGGAGGAAGGGCUCAUAGCGAAUACCUGUGAGUUUUGACGUUACCAACAGAAUAAGCACCGGCUAACUUCGUGCCAGCCGCCGCCGUAAAAC